GGGGGGGGGGGGGGGGGGGCGUGAGAGAGGCAAGUCGAACGGACUCUUCGGGGUUAGUGGCGGACGGGUGGGUAACACGUGGGAACGUGCCUUUUGGUUCGGGAUAACUCAGGGAAACUUGUGCUAAUACCGAAUGUGCCCUUCGGGGGAAAGAUUUAUCGCCAUUAGAGCGGCCCGCGUCUGAUUAGCUAGUUGGUGAGGUAACGGCUCACCAAGGCGACGAUCAGUAGCUGGUCUGAGAGGAUGACCAGCCACACUGGGACUGAGACACGGCCCAGACUCCUACGGGAAGCAGCAGUGGGGAAUCUUGCGCAAUGGGCGAAAGCCUGACGCAGCCAUGCCGCGUGAAUGAUGAAGGUCUUAGGAUUGUAAAAUUCUUUCACCGGGGACGAUAAUGACGGUACCCGGAGAAGAAGCCCCGGCUAACUUCGUG
rnacentral:rRNA from 1 species